rnacentral:rRNA from 1 species
UACGGGGGGGGGCAAGCGUUGUUCGGAAUUACUGGGCGUAAAGGGCUCGUAGGCGGCCAACUAAGUCAGACGUGAAAUCCCUCGGCUUAACCGGGGAACUGCGUCUGAUACUGGAUGGCUAGAGGUUGGGAGAGGGAUGCGGAAUUCCAGGUGUAGCGGUGAAAUGCGUAGAUAUCUGGAGGAACACCGGUGGCGAAGGCGGCAUCCUGGACCGGUAUUGACGCUGAGGCGCGAAAGCCAGGGGAGCAAACGGG